GAUGUGUGGGGGAAAAAUGAUAUAAAAACAAAAGGUAUUUGUAAUGUCUGGACUAACUUUCUGCAGGUUCUCUGGACCUGCUUUGGUCUUUAGGUGGAGAAGUGAUGAAGGCAGGAAUCCACAAAGAGGCUGGUCAAAGUAUCAAAAGACAUCUUCUUGGAUCAGAG
rnacentral:lncRNA from 1 species